GCUGGCGACUGCAUAGGAGGACCCAGCUGGCGGGACCGCGACGUCCAGGGCCAAGGCUUGUGUUCAAUCGUGUGAAUGGCCGGCGGGCCCCCUCCACGUCCCCAUCCUUCGAGGGGACCCAGGAGACCUACACAGUGGCCCACGAGGAGAAUGUCCGCUUUGUGUCCGAAGCCUGGCAGCAGGUGCAACAGCAGCUGGAUGGUGGCCCAGCCGGUGAGGGCGGGCCAAGGCCUGUGCAGUACGUGGAGAGGACCCCCAAUCCCCGGCUGCAGAACUUUGUGCCCAUUGACCUAGACGAGUGGUGGGCGCAGCAGUUCCUGGCGAGAAUCACCAGCUGUUCCUAGUGGCUGCUGGGAGGGGGCGCUGCUACACGGCUGACCUGUCGCCAGGAGAGAAGCAUGGCGCCCUGCCCACCCACUGCGCCUGGCUGGGUGCCGGCCACACCUGAAGUGCCAGCAUUUGGACUUUUGCACCUGUUUUUCCCUUGGCCCGGCUGUCCGAACCAAGCUGCCAUGGCCAAGGGCCGAACCCGUCUGACCUCAGCCCUGCUCACUUUGCCCAGGGACCAGCGACCAGCCCCUGGGGCUGGCAGGGAGGAGCUCCAGGCUAAUAAAGUGGAGAAACUGUC
rnacentral:sRNA from 1 species